rnacentral:sRNA from 2 species
AAACCCCAGCCAGGCUGGAGGUUCCGGAAAGCUUUCAAUUUUGAGACAGUUAUUAAAACCCCUUUUGAUUUGUUAAAACCCCUUGCGGUCUGGCAACUGCAAAAGUUAAACAAGAAAUCAAAAG